rnacentral:tRNA from 1 species
GAGGGUGUAGCUCAGUGGUAGAGUGCAUGCUUAGCAUGCAUGAGGUCCUGGGUUCAAUCCCUAGUACCUCCA